AUGAACGCUGGCGGCGUGCCUAAUACAUGCAAGUCGAGCGAACAGACGAGGAGCUUGCUCCUCUGACGUUAGCGGCGGACGGGUGAGUAACACGUGGAUAACCUACCUAUAAGACUGGGAUAACUUCGGGAAACCGGAGCUAAUACCGGAUAAUAUAUUGAACCGCAUGGUUCAAUAGUGAAAGACGGUUUUGCUGUCACUUAUAGAUGGAUCCGCGCCGCAUUAGCUAGUUGGUAAGGUAACGGCUUACCAAGGCGACGAUGCGUAGCCGACCUGAGAGGGUGAUCGGCCACACUGGAACUGAGACACGGUCCAGACUCCUACGGGAGGCAGCAGUAGGGAAUCUUCCGCAAUGGGCGAAAGCCUGACGGAGCAACGCCGCGUGAGUGAUGAAGGUCUUCGGAUCGUAAAACUCUGUUAUUAGGGAAGAACUAAUGUGUAAGUAACUAUGCACGUCUUGACGGUACCUAAUCAGAAAGCCACGGCUAACUACGUG
rnacentral:rRNA from 1 species